rnacentral:rRNA from 1 species
AUUGAACGCUGGCGGCAGGCCUAACACAUGCAAGUCGACCGAGUGGCGGACGGGUGACUAAUGCCUUGGCAACUGCCUGAUGGAUGGGGAUAACAACCGGAAACGAUAGCUAAUACCGCAUACUAUCCCAUGUGCCCAUAUGGGAUUAGCUUGUUGGUGGGGUAACGGCUACCCAAGUCGACGAUCCUUAACUGGUCUGAGAGGAUGAACAGUCAAACUGGAACUGAGACACGGUCCAGACUCCUACGGGAGGCAGCAGUGGGGAAUAUUGGACAAUGGGCGAAAGCCUGAUGCAGCCAUGCCGCGUGUAUGAAGAAGGCCUUCGGGUUGUAAAGUACUUUAAGUGGGGAGGCGUUACCCGCAGAAGAAGCACCGGCUAACUUCGUGCCAGCAGCCGCGGGAAUUC